UGUUACAUCGGCAAAGUAAAUUUAAAAAAAAGAUAAAUAAACUACUUCAAAUUCAGAUAUAAACGCUAUAUUUGUUCAGAAUAGUAAUAGUAAUAUUUUUUCCCUGCCAAAGAAAGAAAAAAAAAAAAAAAAGAUUUUCGCAUUUAGCCUAUACACUUAUUUUUCCGUGAUCGGGAUCGUGGGCCCCGCGGGGUUUUCUGAAAGUGUGCACGGGGAACACACGUGUUUCCGUUUCAACGAAAACAACACAGCUUCACUGUGAUUGUCACAGCGAACGCUUGUAUUUUACAUCUUUAAAACGACUUGAUGUCAGAAGAAGAAGAUGCCCUGGAUCUCCUGUUGCAGGAUGACCCAAACGAUCAUGCAUUCAGUAUAAACAUGUAGAUGGUAUUGACAUCCCAAUAUUUAGUGGGAAGGUCCCAGGUAUCAUCCGCUAGUGACAGUGACUACUGGCAAACCCAGACAUGCAUUGGAGGGAUGUUGAUGUGGAGGACACAGGGACACCUGAUCCAAGAACUGUUAUAUUUCAUUCGGUUUCGGAGUGACAACCUGGCAUUCAGUUGAUAUGGGACCCGUUUAUUCAGAGAACUGCAGAUUUUAUGAAGCUGUUUUGACAGAAGAUUUAGUUUUCUCCAUCUGUGUUGCCAUCAACCAUUAUGCUGAGAUGGUCAUAUCUAGAGGGAAGGAUCGUCAUAUGCUUCCCAAGGAAGUUCGCAGCCUCUCACUGAAGAGGAUACUAGUUAAAAAAACCGAUAUUGUGACAGUGAUUUCCAGUUUAAAACGAGUAAUAAAAUGCAUAAUAAAAAUAUUACCUUUACCAAAAUUAA